rnacentral:rRNA from 1 species
AGAGUUUGAUCAUGGCUCAGGACGAACGCUGGCGGCGUGCUUAACACAUGCAAGUCGAACGAUGAAGCUGGAGCUUGCUCCAGUGGAUUAGUGGCGAACGGGUGAGUAACACGUGAGCAAUCUGCCCUUGACUCUGGGAUAACUGCGGGAAACUGUAGCUAAUACCGGAUACGACACCUUGGGGCAUCCCAGGGUGUGGAAAGAAUUUCGGUCAAGGAUGAGCUCGCGGCCUAUCAGCUAGUUGGUGAGGUAAUGGCUCACCAAGGCGACGACGGGUAGCCGGCCUGAGAGGGUGACCGGCCACACUGGAACUGAGAUACGGUCCAGACUCCUACGGGAGGCAGCAGUGGGGAAUAUUGCACAAUGGGCGCAAGCCUGAUGCAGCAACGCCGCGUGAGGGAUGAAGGCCUUCGGGUUGUAAACCUCUUUUAGCAGGGAAGAAGCGAAAGUGACGGUACCUGCAGAAAAAGCACCGGCUAACUACGUGCCAGCAGCCGCGGUAAUACGUAGGGUGCAAGCGUUGUCCGGAAUUAUUGGGCGUAAAGAGCUCGUAGGCGGUUUGUCGCGUCUGCUGUGAAAAUCCAAGGCUCAACCUUGGACCUGCAGUGGGUACGGGCAGACUAGAGUGCGGUAGGGGAGAUGGGAAUUCCUGGUGUAGCGGUGGAAUGCGCAGAUAUCAGGAGGAACACCAAUGGCGAAGGCACAUCUCUGGGCCGUAACUGACGCUGAGGAGCGAAAGCGUGGGGAGCGAACAGGAUUAGAUACCCUGGUAGUCCACGCCGUAAACGGUGGGUGCUAGUUGUGGGCCACAUUCCACGUGGUCCGUGACGAAGUUAACACAUUAAGCACCCCGCCUGGGGAGUACGGUCGCAAGACUAAAACUCAAAGGAAUUGACGGGGGCCCGCACAAGCGGCGGAGCAUGCGGAUUAAUUCGAUGCAACGCGAAGAACCUUACCAAGGCUUGACAUAUAGAGGAAACGUGCAGAAAUGUACGCCCCGCAAGGUCUCUAUACAGGUGGUGCAUGG